rnacentral:rRNA from 1 species
GACGAACGCUGGCGGCGCGUCUAACACAUGCAAGUCGAACGAGCGAGAGAGAGCUUGCUUUCUCAAGCGAGUGGCGAACGGGUGAGUAACGCGUGAGGAACCUGCCUCAAAGAGGGGGACAACAGUUGGAAACGACUGCUAAUACCGCAUAAGCCCACGACCCGGCAUCGGGUUGAGGGAAAAGGAGCAAUCCGCUUUGAGAUGGCCUCGCGUCCGAUUAGCUGGUUGGUGAGGUAACGGCCCACCAAGGCAACGAUCGGUAGCCGGACUGAGAGGUUGAACGGCCACAUUGGGACUGAGACACGGCCCAGACUCCUACGGGAGGCAGCAGUGGGGAAUAUUGCACAAUGGGGGAAACCCUGAUGCAGCGACGCCGCGUGGAGGAAGAAGGUCUUCGGAUUGUAAACUCCUGUUGUUGAGGAAGAUGAUGACGGUACUCAACAAGGAAGUGACGGCUAACUACGUGCCAGCAGCCGCGGUAAAACGUAGGUCACAAGCGUUGUCCGGAAUUACUGGGUGUAAAGGGAGCGCAGGCGGGAAGACAAGUUGGAAGUGAAAUCUAUGGGCUCAACCCAUAAACUGCUUUCAAAACUGUUUUUCUUGAGUAGUGCAGAGGUAGGCGGAAUUCCCGGUGUGGCGGUGGAAUGCGUAGAUAUCGGGAGGAACACCAGUGGCGAAGGCGGCCUACUGGGCACCAACUGACGCUGAGGCUCGAAAGUGUGGGUAGCAAACAGG